UGAUAAGCUGCCUUUUCUUUGAAAUCGAAUUAGGCACUAAAAGACCAACACAGCAAUCAAUUUGGGACCCUUAUGUGUCCAUGAUUAUAUAUGCCCACGUCUCCAACUUUUAUAAUAACCUCCGAUUCAUGUGAAAGAAAACCACUUCACACGCUGCUACAUUUUUAGGUCCGCCGUGUCUUCGUCUUGGAAGUACUUAUCCUAGGCUUUAAUGUCAUGACCCACCAGCUACAGCACAGGUCAGUCAAUGGAAAUGGGCCUAACGAGUCUUUAAAUUUUCUUUAAAGCAACAAUAUAAAAACGCUCUUUAUUUUCUGCAUGAGGACAUGAUGAUGAGACAAUGGCUGCGACUCCACUCAGAAAAGGGAAGUACUGAGAAAAUUUGGAGAUCACUAAAGAACAAAAUUCAUAAUUUCAGCCACCGACAAUUG
rnacentral:misc_RNA from 1 species